AUUGAACGCUGGCGGCAUGCCUUACACAUGCAAGUCGAACGGCAGCACGGGGCAACCUGGUGGCGAGUAGCGAACGGGUGAGUAAUGCAUCGGAACGUACCUUUCAGUGGGGGAUAACGUAGCGAAAGUUACGCUAAUACCGCAUAUUCUGUGAGCAGGAAAGCAGGGGAUCGCAAGACCUUGCGCUGAUUGAGCGGCCGAUGUCAGAUUAGCUAGUUGGUGAGGUAAAGGCUCACCAAGGCGACGAUCUGUAGCGGGCCUGAGAGGAUGAUCCGCCACACUGGAACUGAGACACGGUCCAGACUCCUACGGGAGGCAGCAGUGGGGAAUUUUGGACAAUGGGGGCAACCCUGAUCCAGCCAUGCCGCGUGAGUGAAGAAGGCCUUCGGGUUGUAAAGCUCUUUCGGCCGGGAAGAAAUCGCACGGGCUAAUACCCUGUGUGGAUGACGGUACCGGAAUAAGAAGCACCGGCUAACUACGUGCCAGCCGCCGCCGUAAGAC
rnacentral:rRNA from 1 species